UUUUUUUUUUUUAAGAUUUAUUUGAGAGCAUGAACAGAAGGGACAGAGGGAGGAGAGCGAAUCUCACGUAGGCUCUGCACUGAGUCGAGACGUGGGGCUCCAGGCAAUCAAGAGCUCAGCCCAAAUCAAGAGCCAACACUUAACCCAUCUGUGCCAGGUAGGCGCCUCCUGAGGAAAUACUAAUUCAACUAAUUUGCUGUCAUAGGUGAAGUUCAGAGUCCCCAGGAGACAGGAUGAGCUCAAGAGUACUGGUAAAGAUGUUAAGCCUUGUGAGAGAAGAGAGGCUACAGGAAGACAAAAUAUUUCAGCUCCAUUUUCAAGUUGUAAAUAGUGCUUCUGUGCACUAUUACCAAACUACUUCUAGCGCUGACCUAUCUUCUACUUGCUGUGUAUUUCCACGUAGAUGUCCUACACACCCCUCCACAUUCUACAUGCAAAUCCAAAAGGCAUCUAUAAUUCAGAUCCCGCUCCAGAGUUCCCUCAUUGUUAAUUUGUUUCCCUAAUUGCCCAAUUUAAAAACUCUUUCUUACCCUCCAUGCAGUUGCUCAAUUCAUUCUACCUUCGAAACCUUUAAGUAAGUCCUUGCCUAUAGAGGGAAUCCUUAGGCUCAUCUCAUUAACUGACAAAUCCUUUUUCCUCCAGUUUUUCCUUUCCAAGCUGUUUUCCAUAUUUUCACCUGUUUUCUUUUUGAAGCUGGGAUCUCUUUCCUUUGCUCAUGAACCUUGGAUGGCUGCCAUGCUUGCAGAAUAAAGUUGCAACUCUUAUUAGGACACUCGCCCCCAGGUUAUUAACACAGUACACCUUUCAAUAUAUUUUAUGUUCUUUCUUUGUACUUGUCUUCAACUACUGGAUACUCCACAUCUAUCUUACACGACUGUCUAUGCACUUUUACCUCUGACAAUUAUUUUCCUUUUCUUUACAUGUCAAAAAUCUUAAGGCCCAACUCAGUACUACUUCUAAGGUGCUAGACAACCCCUACUCACACGAAUGUCACUACUUUCUGGGGGAAACAGUGACUACUUUUUUCACCUCUUCAGGCAUUUGUUGUAGGGAAGGGGAAUGCAGCUUGUAUUUUAGUUACACAUGUAAUUUCUUCCCCACUUGUGCUACUACUUUCAGCUCUGCCAUUAUCUUUGUAUUUCCUGAGCAUACCUCACACAUAAACCCCACACAUUAAAUUAUGGACAUGCUGCUCAAAAUGUCACAAAGGAGCUGAGAAAUGUCAAACAAGGGGGGAGGGUUGUGGAGGAGUGGCUGAGACAGUUUUAUUGAGUUUUAUUUUCCAAAAGACAGGAACUCUUUUUUAGAACUUUUUGAAUCUUAUAUAGAAAUGUUAUCCAACCUGUGCAAGAAUGAACUAUUUUCUGGAAUCAGACUGGGAAAGAGGUCAGCUCUAAGGCAACCCAUUAGUUUAAUAUUUACAACACAUUACUAGAAAAAAAAAACUAAAAAUUGGUGACUAAAUAUUGAGGGAAUUUUCAAAUUAUGGUCUGAACUGCUAAAAUGGGUUUCCCAACUAUUUGAGAAGGUAUCUGCAUCUACAUGCAGGAAUGGAACUUCAUACAAAAUGAGCAUAAAAAAGUUCCUUUGCCUCUUUAAACUUUCCCUUUCUUUCUAGAACUGGUGUCCCCACUCAAAAUUUGUCUUUAUACUUCUUGAAGGCUUUAGUCUCAAAAGCAGCCCUCGUUUUUGUAAUUUCAAGCCAUUAAUACGGUUCUUCCCAACAUUUCUAGAACCAGGGAUAGGGCAGAGGUGGGUGGCUUUGAGCCAGGACAACCCAAACCCUCUCCCUGACAUCUAAAUACUUUUGAGGGAUCCCUGGGUGGCGCAGUGGUUUGGCGCCUGCCUUUGGCCCAGGGCGCGAUCCUGGAGACCUGGGAUCGAAUCCCACAUCGGGCUCCUGGUGCAUGGAGCCUGCUUCUCCCUCUGCCUGUGUCUCUGCCUCUCUCUGUGACUAUCAUAAAUAAAUAAAUAAAUAAAUACAUACAUACAUACAUACAUACAUACAUACAUACUUUUGAGAAUAAGCUGGGGGCAUGCAGAGUCUAGCCUACCACAGCUCCUCACAAUCUUAAUUUCACCAUCCUGGGUGGGUUGCCACAUGUCCCCCUGCCCCAGGUCCAUUCUGGGGCCUAGUGCUGAAAGGCAGAAGCACUGCAAUAGAGCCUAGGUUUUGUUCCUUCUCAAUGCUGAAAGUUGACUUAGGGUUUUUAUAAGAGGGCAGGUAAAGACAAAAGUAACGUGGGUUUUUUAGAUAGUUUGAAGAGAAAUACAAAUGGUUUUCCCCAAGUGUGGCAUGACUGGAUCCCAUUUAAGUCCCACAUUUGUAUGGCUUUAUACUAAAAUAUACCAAUUAUUGUGAAGGGGUGAUUACAUAGCUCAGUAGACCCCUGAAUAACAUGGGGUUUAGGUGUACUAAUUCCUGUGCUGUCAAAAAUCCACAUAUAACUUGUUUCCCCAACUAUUAAUAGUCUGUUGACCAGAAGCCUGUAAGUCACCUAGCAUAUUUUCUAUUAGAUACUGUAUUCUUACAAUAAAGUGAGCUAGAGAAAACUCAUGAAAAUACAGUACUAUACUAUAAAAAUCCACAUCUAAGUGGACCAGCAGUUUUGAACCCAUGUGAUUCAAAGGUCAAUGGUAUGCCUAAAAACCUGAAUGCUGGUCCUGAAAAUGUAAUUACUUGCCUAAUACAUUAUCUAGUCUUUUAACUAAUUACAUAAACCACCUUAAAAUUUGUAUUUUAACGAGUUUGAAAAGAGCUGUUCCUGUCAAUCUUAGUGUGAUUUGAUGUUUUAUUACUUUUCCUUGAUCUGCCUACAGGUACACUAAAAUACUUAGUACACCAAGCAUUAAUGCAAAUAAAAGUUCUGUGGUGUUACUUAGUAUUUCACUUUAUCAGUGCUAGUUGAGGUAUUUGUACAUUUAUCUAAAAGUAAUUUCAGAGCAGCCCCGGUGGCGCAGCGGUUUAGCGCCGCCUGCAGCCCAGGGCGUGAUCGUGGAGACCCUGGAUCAAGUCCCAUGUCAGGCUCUCUGUAUGAUGCCUGCUUCUCCCUCUGCCUGUGUCUCUGCCUCUCCCUCUGUCUCUAUGAAUAAAUAAAAUCUUAAAUAAAUAUACUAAAAUUCCAGUGAAUACCCCACAUACUGAUGUUCCAUAAUGAAGUGCCAUUGCAUGUAAUUCACUCACAUAUUAACUUUUCGCCCCUUUGCAAUUAGGAGCCCCCUCUACCAGGAGUUAAAAUUUACACCUGAAGCUGGUGACUGCAAAAUUGCUUUAUAAACCCACAGAACCAGUUAAAUGAACAUUGGAGGAAAUGUUUCAAGACUUGUAGAAAAAAAAUUAAAGUAGUUAAAUAGAUUGGCCAGCACUAAGUGUGAAUAAUGUUGAAACCUACCCUACAAUUAAUGGGAUUGUAAGGUGGAACCCUUGGGAAGUAGAAUUAGGACAUAAGGGCAGAACCCUCAUGAAUGGGUUAAUGUGCUUACAAAAGGGGAUCAAGAAAGCCCCCUCAAGGGAGGCCUGGGUGGCUCAGGGGUUAAGCAUUUGCCUUCGGCCCAGGUUUGUGUGAUCCCAGAGUCCCAGGAUGGAGUCCCACAUUGGGCCCCCAGCAUGGAGCCUGCUUCUCUGCCUGUCUCUCAUGAAUAAAAUCUUUAAAAAAAAAAAAAAAGCUCCCGACCUUCCUGCUAUGUGACUCGAUGAGGACUCCCCAUGUCUGAGCCAUGAAAUGGAGACACUACAUCAGCAGGUGCGUUGAUCCUGGGACUUCCUGACCAAUGAAACAAAUUUAUAAGCUAUCCAGUCUUUAGUACUGUUACAGUAGUCCAAAGAGAUUAAGGCUGCUAAAUCUUUUAACACCAAAACUAUUCAGCUUUUCUAAUUAACCUUUUCACUGUAUCAUCUAUACUGUAAUUUAGCCAAUUUUGUUCACUCAAAAAAAUCAUAAAACCUCUUUAUGAACAUCUAUUUCCUUUAUAAAAUUUAACUACUUUUUACUUAGAAAAUCUUACAAGGGGAUCCCUGGGUGGCUCAGCGGUUUGGCGCCUGCCUUUGGCCCAGGGCGCAAUCCUGGAGUCCCGGGAUCGAGUCCCAUCUCGGGCUCCUGGGAUGGGGCCUGCUUCUCCCUCCUCCUGGGUCUCUGCCUAUCAUAGAUAAAUAAAUCUUGAAAAAAAAAAAAAUCUUACAAAAUUUUGCAAGGUUGAAAGCUUACUGUAUUUUGUUAAAGCUUCUCUAAUUUUUAAAGCUAGCUAUAUGUAACUUUAUUGUAAUAUUAUUAAAAGUAUAGCUUUCUCUACAAAGAAAUGAAACUUUUUAU
rnacentral:lncRNA from 1 species